CUAUGGAACUCAUCCCGGUUGAGCAGCAGGAGGAGCUGGUGCUGUGGGUGAGCUUGCCAAACCCAUGCAGCUAUACACAUGGCUUCAGAUUCAGAGUCGUUCGUCAGGUGUUUUCUACUAGUGUCUUUGUGUGCUUACGUGAUACUUUUCCAUGUGCACGCCCUUUGUAUUUAUAGGGAUGAUCAAGCAGAGGAGGAGGCCGGAAGGAAAGGGGGAUCAAGCAGAGGAGGAGCCCACAGUGAGCCUUACACGCUUACAUUAUUGCCUCCAAGCAGGUAGUACUCUGCAUGCAACCGUUCAUUAUUCAGAGUUUCCAUCCUGUGUUCAGUUACCAGGUUUUAUAUUACCUUUGCAUAUACUACCUCCGUUUUUAAUAGAUGACGCCGUUGACUUUUCCUCACAUGUUUGACCAUUCGUCUUAUUCAAAAAUUUUAUGCAAAUGUAUAAGAUAUAAAUCAUACUUAAAGUACUAUGAGUGAUAAAACAACCCAUAACAAAAUAAAUUAUAAUUACGUAAAUUUUUUGAAUAAGACGAAUGGUCAAACAUGUGAGAAAAAGUCAACGGCGUCAUCUAUUAAAAAACGGAGGGAGUAUAUGUCAAUUCUGAGGGUCCCUCCCUACCACUAAUUUCCUCUGUAUCUAUAACAGUUCAAUUGUUUUGUGCCACUCCUAGUUUGAAGUUUUAACACUUGGUGCUUGCUUAUGGAUGCAACACACUCUUAGUUUGAAUUUUUAACGCUUGGUUCCUCUAUAUCUAUAACUAUUAUUUAGCCUCCAUCCUUAUAAGCAUAACCGAAAAUUUAAAUUUUUGCUUUCUUUUUCCAUCGCAGUUUAUUUUCUUUUAAAUUGUUAAGAAUAUGUAUAUACAAGUUUUACUCGUAAAUAUUUUCUUAAUCGUUAAUACAUAUUGUUACUUAUAAUAAGUAUAAGCGAAACAACGAGGCUGUUGAUGUUCACUUCCUGUGAGCCACAGUUUGUUUUUUUUCUUGUCAGGAACAGCGGCUAGGCAGCACCUGAAAACUGGUAUUGCUGAUCCAUAUCUGAAUUUCUGGAUGAAAACGAGAGCUUUGCUUGUCUAAAUUCUCUGAAUACUGGAUAGGAAGAGGAAUGCCGGAUAUACACAAGCAGUAAACAACGGCCUGGUCUUUCUGCAUUCAAACCUGUUUCCCACGGGCAGUUGGCCUUGCUGGCUUUCAAUUCACACGUGUCAAUCAGCUGGGGAAAACAGCAAUCCAUGCCUGCGAUGGGGAAUGCAUUUGUACUCCUCCGUCCCAAAAAAAAAAAA
rnacentral:lncRNA from 1 species